GACGAACGCUGGCGGCGUGGAUUAGGCAUGCAAGUCGAACGGUAUCAUCCUUUCGGGGGUGAGAGAGUGGCGAACUGGUGAGUAACACGUAGGUUAUCUACCCUCAAGACGGGGACAACCCAGGGAAACUUGGGCUAAUACCGGAUGUGAGCAACUUUUAGUUGUUUGAAAGGUGGCGUAAGCUGCCGCUUGGGGAUGAGCCUGCGUCCUAUUAGUUAGUUGGUGAGGUAACGGCUCACCUAGGCAAUGAUAGGUAGGCGGCCUUAACGGGUGGUCGCCCACACUGGGAUUGAGAUACGGCCCAGACUCCUACGGGAGGCAGCAGUCGAGAAUAGUCUACAAUGGUCGGAAGACUGAUAGUGCGACGCCGCGUGAACGAUGAAUCCCUUCGGGGUGUAAAGUUCUUUUAUAUGUGAGCAGUGCUUCUUAUAUUAACAGUAUGGGGAGAGAGAUAUUAGCAUAUGAAUAAGCAACGGCUAACUCCGUGCCAGCAGCCGCGGUAAACUCGU
rnacentral:rRNA from 1 species